rnacentral:rRNA from 1 species
UACGAAGGGGCUAGCGUUGCUCGGAAUUACUGGGCGUAAAGGGCGCGUAGGCGGAUAGUUUAGUCAGAGGUGAAAGCCCAGGGCUCAACCUUGGAAUUUGCCUUUGAUACUGGCUGUCUUGAGUUCGGGAGAGGUGAGUGGAAUGCCGAGUGUAGAGGUGAAAUUCGUAGAUAUUCGGCGGAACACCAGUGGCGAAGGCGACUCACUGGCCCGAUACUGACGCUGAGGCGCGAAAAGCGUGGGGAGCAAACAGG